rnacentral:rRNA from 1 species
GACGAACGCUGGCGGCGUGCCUAAUACAUGCAAGUAGAACGCUGAAGGAGGAGCUUGCUUCUCUGGAUGAGUUGCGAACGGGUGAGUAACGCGUAGGUAACCUGCCUGGUAGCGGGGGAUAACUAUUGGAAACGAUAGCUAAUACCGCAUAAUAUUGACUAUUGCAUGAUAGUCAGUUGAAAGGUGCAACUGCACCACUACCAGGUGGACCUGCGUUGUAUUAGCUAGUUGGUGGGGUAACGGCUCACCAAGGCGACGAUACAUAGCCGACCUGAGAGGGGGAUCGGCCACACUGGGACUGAGACACGGCCCAGACUCCUACGGGAGGCAGCAGUAGGGAAUCUUCGGCAAUGGACGGAAGUCUGACCGAGCAACGCCGCGUGAGUGAAGAAGGUUUUCGGAUCGUAAAGCUCUGUUGUAAGAGAAGAACGAGUGUGAGAGUGGAAAGCUCACACUGUGACGGUAUCUUACCAGAAAGGGACGGCUAACUACGUG